UCCCGUACAGCUUUGGAGGCGGAGAGUGAAGAUGGCGGCCUCCCAAUCUCCGCCCCGGAGGAGCCGAGAACUCGGGGCCCCGCUCCUCAGUGCGCCCCCAGAGAAAAGCCGCCAGUCACUCCCGGCUCCCCGGUCUCCGGCCGCACUCCGUGCCCACCCGGCCUGUGACCGCUCGUUUCUAUCUCUGGCGCCCGACCCCGGGUGGAGUCCCAAACCCAGCAGAUCCCUGCGGUGCCCUCCCGCGCGGCUCCUCCCGGGGGAGGAAGGUUCUGCUUCGGUGGAACCCAAAAUAAGAAAGGUGUAACGGAAGGGGCCCAAGAAAACAGUUGCUCAGAAUGGGAUUGUGACCUCGAUCACUUGGAGGAUCCUGGACAAAAAGACAAUUUACUGGUAGAAGCAAAGGUGGUAGGAGCUCUGGAUGGAACCUGCUACGGACUGAAUGUUUGUGUCCCUUCAGAAUUCAUACGUUGAAAUCUUAAACCCCAACGUGAAG